rnacentral:rRNA from 1 species
GACGUAGGGCGCGAGCGUUGUCCGGAUUUAUUGGGCGUAAAGAGCUCGUAGGCGGCUUGUCGCGUCGACUGUGAAAUCCCGCGGCUCAACUGCGGGUCUGCAGUCGAUACGGGCAGGCUAGAGUUCGGUAGGGGAGACUGGAAUUCCUGGUGUAGCGGUGAAAUGCGCAGAUAUCAGGAGGAACACCGGCGGCGAAGGCGGGUCUCUGGGCCGAUACUGACGCUGAGGAGCGAAAGCGUGGGGAGCGAACAGG